UAUCUCUGUAGAGUCUGCAUAUCAAUAAGCGGAGGAAAAGAAACUAACUAGGAUUCCCUCAGUAACGGCGAGUGAAGCGGGAAGAGCUCAAAUUUGAAAUCUUCAAGGUUCUACCUUGACGAAUUGUAGUUUAAAGAAGUGUUUUCUGUUGGAGUUUUGGUAAAAGUUCUUUGGAAUAGGACAUCAUAGAGGGUGAGAAUCCCGUAUUUGACCAUUAUUUCCAGCUUUGUGAUACACUUUCAAAGAGUCGGAUUGUUUGGGAAUGCAGUCCAAAAUGGGUGGUAAAUUUCAUCUAAAGCUAAAUACUGGCGAGAGACCGAUAGCGAACAAGUACCGUGAGGGAAAGAUGAAAAGAACUUUGAAAAGAGAGUUAAAUCAGUACGUGAAAUUGUCAAAAGGGAAGCGUUUGACACCAGUGUUGUUUUCUCGAAAAUCAAUUAAAAAAAGGCAGGAUUUUGUGUUGUAUUAGACCUUUAUCAGCUUUACUGCUACUCUUUUCUUGUCUUUUUUUAAUGCACUUUUCGUUUAACAAGUCAACAUCAAUUUCUUUUGUUGUAAAAGGGUCAUUGGAAGGUGGCUUUCUUUUCGGAGAAAGUGUUUAUAGCCUUUGGCCUCUGCAAUCGGAGAGAUUGAGGUCUGCAGCGUAGAUCCUUCGGGGUUAGAUACAUUUGUGCUAAGUUAUAGCCUUUCAUAGACAACUUGUUGACUAUGAUCAGUCAUGUAGCUUACUCGCUUAUGCUAUUUUACCUACGCUUAGGAUGUUGAAGAUGUAGCACAUCAU
rnacentral:rRNA from 1 species